ensembl:snoRNA
GAUCAAUAAUGAGAAUAGAUAAAUCGAAGCAUCAAAAGACUUUCCAGUGUCUCUGAUGCGUGAUCUCUGUAUUUCUCUCU